GGGGAAUAUUGCACAAUGGGCGGAAGCCUGAUGCAGCAACGCCGCGUGCGGGAUGACGGCCUUCGGGUUGUAAACCGCUUUCAGCAGGGGCGAAGCUUGUGGUGACGGUACCUGCAGAAGAAGCACCGGCUAACUACGUGCCAGCAGCCGCGGUGAUACGUAGGGUGCGAGCGUUGUCCGGAUUUAUUGGGCGUAAAGAGCUCGUAGGUGGUUGAUCGCGUCGGAAGUGAAAACUUGGGGCUUAACCCUGAGCGUGCUUUCGAUACGGGUUGACUUGAGGAAGGUAGGGGAGAAUGGAAUUCCUGGUGGAGCGGUGGAAUGCGCAGAUAUCAGGAGGAACACCAGUGGCGAAGGCGGUUCUCUGGACCUUUCCUGACGCUGAGGAGCGAAAGCGUGGGGAGCGAACAGGCUUAGAUACCCUGGUAGUCCACGCUGUAAACGGUGGGUACUAGGUGUGGGGUCCAUUCCACGGAUUCCGUGCCGUAGCUAACGCAUUAAGUACCCCGCCUGGGGAGUACGGCCGCAAGGCUA
rnacentral:rRNA from 1 species